GACGAACGCUGGCGGCGUGCUUAACACAUGCAAGUCGAACGGAAAGGCCCUGCUUUUGUGGGGUGCUCGAGUGGCGAACGGGUGAGUAACACGUGAGUAACCUGCCCUUGACUUUGGGAUAACUUCAGGAAACUGGGGCUAAUACCGGAUAGGAGCUCCUGCUGCAUGUGGGGGGUUGGAAAGUUUCGGCGGUUGGGGAUGGACUCGCGGCUUAUCAGCUUGUUGGGGGGGUAGUGGCUUACCAAGGCUUUGACGGGUAGCCGGCCUGAGAGGGUGACCGGCCACAUUGGGACUGAGAUACGGCCCAGACUCCUACGGGAGGCAGCAGUGGGGAAUAUUGAACGAUGGGCGGAAGCUUGAUGCAGCAGCGCCGCGUGCGGGAUGACGGCCUUCGGGUUGUAAACCGCUUUCGCCUGUGACGAAGCGUGAGUGACGGUAAGGGGUAAAGAAGCACCGGCUAAAUACGUGC
rnacentral:rRNA from 1 species